rnacentral:rRNA from 1 species
AACGAACGCUGGCGGCAUGCCUAACACAUGCAAGCCGAACGAAGGCUUCGGCCUUAGUGGCGCACGGGUGCGUAACGCGUGGGAAUCUGCCCCUCGGUUCGGAAUAACAGUUAGAAAUGACUGCUAAUACCGGAUGAUGACUUCGGUCCAAAGAUUUAUCGCCGAGGGAUGAGCCCGCGUAGGAUUAGGUAGUUGGUGGGGUAAAGGCCUACCAAGCCGACGAUCCUUAGCUGGUCUGAGAGGAUGAUCAGCCACACUGGGACUGAGACACGGCCCAGACUCCUACGGGAGGCAGCAGUGGGGAAUAUUGGACAAUGGGCGCAAGCCUGAUCCAGCAAUGCCGCGUGAGUGAUGAAGGCCUUAGGGUUGUAAAGCUCUUUUACCCGGGAUGAUAAUGACAGUACCGGGAGAAUAAGCUCCGGCUAACUCCGUGCCAGCCGCCGCCGUAA